rnacentral:lncRNA from 1 species
AGUUAACGUAAACAAUUUUACAUAAAAUCUUCACUUUACCGUAACAUCAUUUGUUUAUGUGGAAACCAGUGAAACGUGAAGAAAAUCGGAUCAAAUUUUGUAAAUAGUAGACAUAUUUUGGGGAUUAAUACACGAGGAUGAGUGAGUAUAUUCUAAUUUUUCAAUUGAAUUAGUACAUAUUUAAGAAAUGUGCUCUUUGUUGCGUAAGAAAUCAUGGAUUUCGGGUACAAAAAGUUUUCAUAAGGAGGAAGCAUAAUUUUCUUCAAGAACAAGGAAACAUUUGUAUCAUCUUACAAAAAAUAAAGAUUUUCAUGCCAUGUGUGCGUACAAGAACAAUGGCGGAUCCAGCCAUUUAAAAAAGGGGGUUCCCAACCCAGGACAAAAGGGGGUUGUUCCAACUACAUGUUCCCAUUCAAAUGCAUUGAUUGGCCGAAAAAAGGGGGUGGAUUCCAACCCCCGUACCACCCCCUGGAUCCGCCAAUGAAGAAGAAUACUAUAUUUAUUAAAAUUACCCUAAAUGACAUUUCUUUAAAAUAGAGACUAAAGAUACAAAGGCUUUUAGCAAUGUUUAGGGGGAGUGUUGAGAUAAAAAUAAAAAACAUGUUUUAACCCUGCCAAAAUACACCAGUCCCAAGUCAGGAGCCUCUGACCUUUGUUAGUCUUGCAUGAUUUUUAAUUUUGGUUUCUUGUGUAUAUUUCAGAGUUUAGUACGAGGUCCAUUAUCAUUUAACUAGCAUACAUUUUGUUUAGGGUCCAGCAGAAGCAUGCCUCUGGGCGGGGGAGAUUUAAGCUGCAUUGAAGACCCAUGGUGGCCCUUGGCUGUUGUCUGCGCUUUGGUCGAGUUGCUGUCUCCCUGACGUCAGUGUUUUCCUUUUUUCACUAAGGGAAGGUGGGUGUUUAAAAAAAAUCACUUGCAACCGGGUGUUUUUUGUAAAGUCCACCGUUUUUUUUAAAAUUUACUGUGGGCACGUGGGGUCACAAAUAAAGAUUAGGUAUAAUAUUCAUUUAAUGGAGUUGACAAACAUGAAUAGACUAGUCAUAUUAAUGUCAAAUAUUCUUUGAUUUGAUUUUUUUCAACAAUUUUAUCUCUUUUCUCUCUUGCUUUACAAUUUUUUUCUGUGUUCUGCUUUGUUCCGUAUUUUGGCCAUAGAACGUAGUAUCCUUCCUGUGCUAUAAGCCAUUGAAGUCUUGCUCAUAUUGUCUUCACUUGCGUGUCUUUUCCGUUGUUUGGUUGAUUUUUGUUCAAUUUCCACAACUUCAACAUUACUAUCAAUUUUAUUUAACUUAUUUGGUCUAGUAUUUUCUUUAUCAUCAUCGUCAUCAUGGUGAAAGGGAAAUAUAUUUAGAUCAUUUUGAGCCAAAAUUCACUUGUCUAUGAGUUUGCAUUAAAAAUUCAGGAUUAAUGCGCUACAUAGUACACUAAUAUAAGAUUUCCAGAAACCGGGAGUUAUUUUGGUAGUACCUGUCUUUUCAAAAUCAGAAAUUUGUUACAAGACUUUAAACAUUGGUUGAAAAUUGGCAUGUAGGAAGGUGAUAGAUGUACAAUUCAGGAUAUACCUGGUUUCCUUGAAGUUAAACUUAAGGUAAAAUAUUUAGAAAGCUGUGAAAAUUGCAAAAUUUGGUUGAACAGAUAGGGAUUUUUAAUUGGUGGUCUGACACCUUUAAACGGUACGGAACCGAAAAAAAUCCGAAAUUUGAAAAAAAAAGCCGACCACCUCCUAAAAUCGAAAGGUGGUCGGCUUUCAAAAGAAGGUGGUCGGCACACCCGGCUUAAAUGCCGAAUGGAAAACACUGGACGUAUUCCUCAUUUCCAUUUGCAAUUUUGCAAUUUAUUAUUAUUCAAACACAUAAAUCGAAAACAAACUGAACCUAUGCCAUGUUAGUCCAAAUAAUUAUGACGUCUGGCAAGGCUUUUUUAAUUUUUUUACGUUUUUACGUCCCAGAAAAAAAUUAAAAUAGCCUUGCCAGACGUCAUAAUCAUUUGGACUAAUGUCAUGUAUGCUGAAAUGGCAAAAAACCAAAAAAAAAUACAAAUACAUGGAUGCUUCUAGUACUAUAUAGUUUAGGGUGCACUAAAUCGGCCAUUGGCCCAUCAAAUUAUGUGAAUAUAAAAACCCAAGUGAGUGCUUUUCUAAAUAUGAAAAUUCAUGUAAUUGGCCAGUUCAAUUUGAAAUCCAUUUGAAUCAAGGUAAAUCUAUAAAGAUGACAGAAAUGUCUCAUUCUCCGUCUAGUGGUCUUAUACCAUUCUUUAAAAGAAUCCAGUCUUUAGCCAGGAAGAAGAAGAAUUAAAAACUUACUUGGAUUAAGUUAUGCAUAUACCAUGAUAUAUACAUGUAUACAUUGCAUAUAUUAUACUUUUCCAGUUUGCAGAACUUAGGAAAAUAAACUAACACACAAAUUUCAUUUGAUUCAGUCAACGUUAACUCAGUAAUCAAUGGUUAUACAUGUACAGUUUAAAUCACAUAUUGUUUGCAGGGGUUCAUCUACAUGUACAUGUACAUGUCUUGCACUUUUGUCUAUUUAAAUCAAUUUAACUCGCAACAUUAAUAAAAUGAGGGGAUGUUCUUAAACUUCUCUUUCAACUUAGUUUGUUUUAGCACCUUCUGCAGAAAUGUAAAAAAUUAAUAGCAAUAUUCUGGGAAGUUUUUUAAUAUUCUUAAACUCAAAAUGCAUUUUAAUUUUAAAUACAUGUAUCUAGGUCCAGACAUUCUCCAAACAUUUUCCUAGUGCACAGGCUUGUCUGUACUCAGAGUGAAAUUUGAGGUGUAAAUACGGCCAUAUUUGCUAAAAGUUUAUGAUAAACUUAAUGUAUAUAUGUUCUUUAUAUAGACUUUUUAUUAUAAAUGCUUACCCCGUAAGCACAGAUUUUUAGUUUUACCAUACAAAUCCUUGGCUUAAACAUGCUUAAGCAGCAUAGAAAUGUACAUGUACAUUGAUUCAUCAAACUCUGUAGACCAUCUUCUUAGGGAUAUUCAAACUAAUAUAUAAUGUAGUGGUUAAACUUCUCUCCUAACAAUCUGGCUUCUUUCACCAAUAUAAAAUGCAGUGGUUAAACUUCUCUCCUGACAAUCUGGCUUCUUUCACCAAUAUAAAAUGUAGUGGUUAAACUUCUCUCCAGACAAUCUGGCUUCUUUCACCAAUAUAAAAUGUAGUGGUUAAACGUCUCUCCAGACAAUCUGGCUUCUUUCACCAAUAUGAAAUGUAGUGGUUAAACUUCUCUCUUGACAAUAUAUGGCUCUUUCACAAUAUAAAAUGUAGUGGUUAAACUUCUCUCCUGACAAUCUGGCUUCUUUCACCAAUAUAAAAUGUAGUGGUUAAACUUCUCUCCUGACAAUCUGGCUUCUUUCACCAAUAUGAAAUGUAGUGGUUAAACUUCUCUCCUGACAAUCUGGCUUCUUUCACCAAUAUGAAAUGUAGUGGUUAAACUUCUCUCCAGACAAUCUGGCUUCUUUCACCAAUAUAAAAUGUAGUGGUUAAACUUCUCUUCAGACAAUCUGGCUUCUUUCACCAAUAUCAAUGUAGUGUUAAACUUCUUCUCCUGACAAUCUGGCUUCUUUCACCAAUAUAAAAUGUAGUGGUUAAACUUCUCUCCAGACAAUCUGGCUUCUUUCACCAAUAUAAAAAUGUAGUGGUUAAAUUUCUCUCCAGACAAUCUGGCUUCUUUCACCAAUAUACAAUGUAGUGGUUAAACUUCUCUCCUGACAAUCUGGCUUCUUUCACCAAUAUGAAAUGUAGUGGUUAAUAUUCUCUCCAGACAAUCUGGCUUCUUUCACCAAUAUAAAAUGUAGUGGGUUAACUUCUCUCCAGACAAUCUGUCUUCUUUCACCAAAUAAAAUGUAGUGGUUAAACUCUCUCCCGACAAUCUGGCUUCUUUCACAUAUAAAAUGUAGUGGUUAACUUCUCUCCUGACAUCUGGCUUUUUUCACCAAUAUAAAAUGUAAUGGUUAAACUUCUCUCCAGACAAUCUGGCUUCUUUCACCAAUAUAAAAUGUAGUGGUUAAACUUCACUCCUGACAAUCUGGCUUUUUUCACCAAUAUAAAAUGUAGUGGUUAAAAUUCUCUCCAGACAAUCUGGCUUCUUUCACCAAUAUAAAAUGUAGUGGUUAAACUUUUCUCCUGACAAUCUGGCUUCUUUCACCAAUAUAAAAUGUAGUGGUGAAACGUCUCUCCAGACAAUCUGGCUUCUUUCACCAAUAUAAAAUGUAGUGGUUAAACUUCUCUCCAGACAAUCUGGCUUCUUUCACCAAUAUAAAAUGUAGUGGUUAAACUUCUCAGACACUGGCUUUCACAUAUAAAAUAGUGUUAACUUCUCUCCAGACAAUCUGGCUUCUUUCACCAAUAUAAAAUGUAUUGGUUCAACUUCUCUCCAGACAAUCUGGCUUCUUUCAUCAAUUUAAACUGACAGUCACGAAAUAGUUUAUAGUACUGAAAGUGGCAUUAAACACCAAUCAAUUUAUUUGGUUUAAUUUUAACCAUACUGAGUUUACACAGCAGAAUCAUAAUGAUUCAUUCUGAAUGCAUUAUAAUUUAAACAAUGCCCUUUAUUAAUCCUUUAUAAUAUAUGAAAAAUACAUAUCCAUGCAUAUAUGUACCCUGAAAUUUCUUUAAUGUCUUAUGUUAAAUUUAAAUAAAAUUUAAGAUGCAUGUUUCAUAUCUUUUUCAGUGACAACCAUGACAACAAACUUUUAAAAUGGUGUGAAUAAUGCUUCGACACAGCAAGUAUAAACAGAGUAAAAG